CGCCUGUUUUAACAAAAACAUCGCCUCUUGAUCAAUUAUAAGAGGUCAAGCCUGCCCAGUGACAUUGUUCAACGGCCGCGGUAUCCUAACCGUGCGAAGGUAGCGUAAUCACUUGUCCUUUAAAUAAGGACUAGUAUGAACGGCUUCACGAAGGCUAUACUGUCUCCUUAGUCUAAUCAAUUAAACUAAUCUCCCCGUGAAGAAGCGGGGAUUCAUUUAUAAGACGAGAAGACCCUAUGGAGCUUUAAACAUCUAAGACACUUGAUUACACCUAUUAAACUUCAUGCAACCUAUCAUUUUGUCUUAAGUUUUAGGUUGGGGUGACCACGGAGAAAAAUUGAACCUCCACGUAGAAAGAAAAUUCUUUUCUAAGCAAAAAGCCACAUCUUAACGCAUCAAUAUAUUGACUUAAAUUGACCCAAUUUCUUGCUCAACGAACCAAGUUACCCUAGGGAUAACAGCGCAAUCCGCUUUAAGAGCUCCUAUCGACAAGCGGGCUUACGACCUCGAUGUUGGAUCAGGGUAUCCUAAUGGUGCAGCAGCUAUUAACGGUUCGUUUGUUCAACGAUUAAAACCCUACGUGAUCUGA
rnacentral:rRNA from 1 species